rnacentral:rRNA from 1 species
GGGCCCGCACAAGCGGUGGAGUAUGUGGUUUAAUUCGACGCAACGCGAAGAACCUUACCAGCUCUUGACAUGGGAAGUAUGGGUCACAGAAAUGAGAUCCUUCAGUUCGGCUGGCUUCCACACAGGUGCUGCAUGGCUGUCGUCAGCUCGUGUCGUGAGAUGUUGGUGUUAAGUCCCGCAACGAGCGCAACCCCCAUGUUCAGUUGCCAUCAGGUUAAGCUGGGCACUUUGAACAAACUGCCGGUGAUAAGCCGGAGGAAGGCGGGGAUGACGUCAAGUCCUCAUGGCCCUUACGGGCUGGGCUACACACGUACUACAAUGGUGGUGACAGAGGGACGCAAUAGGGCAACCUGGAGCAAAUCCUCAAAAGCCAUCUCAGUUCAGAUUGUUCUCUGCAACUCGAGAGCAUGAAGUUGGAAUCGCUAGUAAUCGCUAAUCAGCAGGUAGCGGUGAAUACGUUCCCGGGCCUU